rnacentral:misc_RNA from 1 species
CAGAGUAAUUGGUUUUCGGACCGACUUACCCGUCCUUUUGUCAUUCAAACAUUGAUUUACUUCCCAGGAGGUGUCGCAGCGAUGUGACCGCCUGGGGUUUUUUUACAAACUCUUUUUUUGCAAUAAAACUGAAGUCUGAAAAACAAACAAAAAAUGAAAAGCA